UAACCAAUCUAUUUUAAAGAAAAUGUUAACUUGUCGAGUUUUUGAUGCGAAAUAUUCGCGAUUGGUUAA
rnacentral:tRNA from 1 species